rnacentral:rRNA from 1 species
GACGUAGGGCGCGAGCGUUGUCCGGAUUUAUUGGGCGUAAAGAGCUCGUAGGCGGCUUGUCGCGUCGAAUGUGAAAACUCGGGGCUCAACUCCGAGCUUGCAUUCGAUACGGGCAGGCUAGAGUUCGGUAGGGGAGACUGGAAUUCCUGGUGUAGCGGUGAAAUGCGCAGAUAUCAGGAGGAACACCGGUGGCGAAGGCGGGUCUCUGGGCCGAUACUGACGCUGAGGAGCGAAAGCGUGGGAGCGAACAGG